rnacentral:lncRNA from 1 species
GGGCAGUGCAGUCUUAUGGUCUGCAGAAGCAACGAGUACAAUUAAAUAGCCUAUCAAAGGCUAUGAGAAUGAGAAGACUUGGAUCAGUUGGAAGACAAAAGAAAGGAGCAAUUAGAUGUAACAUUGAACUUCAGGACUUCAUAGGUGGAGAUCUCAUUAAACCUGAUUUGGGUCAAUGGCUAUCAGAUGUGGAAGAACACAAAGCCAUAGCAAUUUACUCUCCUCAUGAAGGGGGUUAUGAAGGACGCUACCUUACACGUCUUAAGUACCAGGGAUAUCAUUUCUUGGACCUUUCUGCUCGUGGCCUCGGUGAUCCUGAAACCACU